CCUCACCCUCCCGAGAAUGCUAAUUCAGGGUCCUGAAAUCCUCAUCUGCCUGAACAGUAACAGGAUGCAUGGGGCUGCGUCAGCUGGCAAGCCCCUGCCUAUGGAGCUCUGCAAAUCUACUGGUCUGAUAAGGCUAACCAGAGAAGAGAAUGGAGGUUAAGCUAUACACUUCUAAAGUUCUCAGGUACUGAGUCACCAAAAGGAGAAGGGCAAGGAAUAAGAAGAUAAAAUGAAUAAAUAAA